ACAGAUGAAUUAUAUAUGCACUCCUAGCGCAUCUCAACUCCCAUUAGACGGAUUUAUUAACCUGACAGCAAAGGUUUUGCAGAAACCGAAGUAGUGGCGUAAAGCCGUUAAAUUUAUUUUGAGCCACGCUGCCAUGUAACCAGAAAUUAUUCGGACGGAAAACUCGGCUGGAAAUAACGCCGUAGUAAAGCACUUCGAAUUGAUUAUAGGCCGUGUCUGCUGUGCCCGGGGCACAGCAGACGAAAGGUGCCCGAAAUGUCUACGUUCACCCAUGACGUCACGUCCGCUAUAACCCAUGAUGUCACAUCCGCUCAUUUCCAUGGCGGCCGUCUUACGGAGCCGGCUGCGCUGCGAAACGGUCCGUAUUCCGUGGCCACUUAGAGCACUGAACAUCCCACGUCUUGGUUUGACUUCCUGGUACAGGAUACUUGCACUUAGCAUGGAGUGAUGAAGCAGAGCAGUGUACUUUUAUUAAAUGUGCAGAUUUUAGCAGUAUAACAGCAGUUCAUGAAAAAAACAUGUGUGCUGAAAAUAAAGUGUUUUUACCCACA